UCUGAUAACCUAGUUUUGGGGUUACGUUUCGGCCGUAAUUGUGGGCAGUGUUGUUCUAUCAGAG
rnacentral:tRNA from 1 species